rnacentral:lncRNA from 1 species
UCGGUCACAAGUCACCUAUAGGCGAUAACAUUGUCUAAAACCGUUUGUGUGGAAAAACCCUACGCUUGUUCGACACUUUGUUGGGAGCCGUUCCUCACAGAGUCAUUGCGUCGAAGUUUGAACAAGUCUCACUUGCACUAGCACAUGUCCUAGGAUCAACUGGUCGAUCCUGAAAGUAACCCUUCGUUUUAAGACCAGGGAGGACCAGCGGUUGUUUAC